rnacentral:lncRNA from 1 species
UUGGAAGAACAAAUACAAUCUCAAAGUCCAUACAAUCUCAAACUCACCAGGCAUAAUGAUGAGACUUAUGAAAUUACAGUUUCUGGUAGUUCUUGUGUUGAUGAUUUGGUACCAGGGAAAUGAUGCAUAGGAUUAAUCAAGAGACACUUAGGAGGACUUGGGCCUUAGUGACAUUAAAAGAUGCAAGACUAGUUAAUUAUGUUAUGUUUCUUUGUUGUUAAGACAUUGUAACUCUUUUAAAUCAAUAAAACAAAAUUUUAAAUU